ACCUGUACCUCCCUCUCAUGGAAUCCUCUACUGCAAACCCUAUAUGGAGGCCAAUGUACACCCAUCCACCUGAUGGACUGAUCAGCUACUCUAAUUUAUGUGAGAGAACAUAUCUAGUGGAAACCAUACAUUCAGAGGAAACAUGGAAACCCAAACGUGUGCCGUUGGAUUGGAUGCGUACUCUGUGAGAUGGAAAGAGGUACAAUUUGCAAAUUGAACCCCGAAAGAAUCCUGUAACUUAGGUACAGAAACAUCCCAUGGCGGCUGAGCCGUCCCGUGCCUUUCCCCAUGGAGGUAUCAUCCCGAUUCGAAAGGAAAAAUCAAUCAUCCAGAUUCGAAAUUCUUUCGCUAGGGUUAGGAGACCUGUUGGGAGAUGAUGCUUCCCUCCGGCAGGACCCCCUCGUUCCGCGCUGGGCUGGCGAGGGGCAAGCGGCGCGGUUAAUUCCUCUCCGGCGGUUGUGUCCGGCCAAGCGUGCGAGUCUCCGAGCGUUUCGGGCAGGGCCGGCGAGCGGCGUUCCGGGCAGGGCCAGCGAGCGGCGCUUCUGAUUCGUCUCCGGCCAACAGUGCCGGUCCUCCGACCAUUCCCCAUCGAUGUCAUACUAGAUCUAAUCCCAAGAUUGGGCUAGGUUUGCCAAGCAAACAGAGGAGGGGACAAGGACGUGGCUCAUUGGGCUGUCUCCUCCAAGAUCAGCACAUCAUUUGAAGGAAGUAGGAGAGGAAACGAGGUAGUGGCAUCUUGCCUACAGCUGCUGAUUUCCCCUGAGUCGUACUGUCCAGAUUUUGGUCUUGAAGAAAUUGCGAGGUUUGCUGGUGGCAGUAAAGAUCUAUGCAGAUUCCAACC